GCUGAAUGUUCAGUUGGAAUCUCCUUUCUUGUAAUUUGAAGUCAUUGUUUUGAGUCCUACCUUCCAUAGCAGAAUAAAGCAAGUUUGUUCCCUCUUCCAUGUGACAGCCCUUAAGGUAUUUGAAGAUGGCGAUCAUAUCUCCUCUCAGUCUCCUUUUCUCCAGGCUAAGCAUACCCAGCUCCUUCAA